rnacentral:misc_RNA from 1 species
GGUGUAACACCCUUUGGACGUCCCUGGAAACCACAAUGAGAGAAAAUAAUUACACAAGUGCUCGUUUUCAAAAAUUGGCACGGAGAAAAAAAUCACACCAUAUCAUAUGCAACAAACAUAUGAUUGAAAGGCAUGCACAUACUUUCAUGCUAGUAAGCAAACCAUCACACCAUAUCAUGGGUCAUGUUCAUAUUAAAAAGCUAUCAACUUACUCAUCCACUCAGAUAAACAACAGUAAAUGUUUCUUUGGCCUGUCACACUUCAGUGUAUUUUUACCCAUCCUUGACUCUUAAUCCUUGUACAACAGUCUUGGCUUUUUUAUAUCAAACAUGCACAUUUUUGCCAAAGAAAAAUUAAUGCUCAAUUUUCAAAAUGAUGAUGAAUAUUCCAUAAAAGUAGAUUGCAGAGGUGAUGUAUGAUCUUUUCUUUUUACGAUAUCUAUCACAAACAUAUAUCUAUAAGGCGUAACAUCAAGAGAAAACAAGAAUCCCAUAACCUAGUAGACAGAAAAUUCACUCAUGGCAGAAAAAGACAAAAUGAUGAUGCACAUUAUAACCAAACAAAGAGACUGAUAACUCUGCGAUUCCAAGUUCCAAGACAAGCUCUCAAUGGGAAGGUCAAGACAGUUGAGCACUAUCCCAUCCACAUUAAUUUUGUGAUGCUCUCGUCUCUUCAACCCUAAAAACACAGGAUUGGUAAUGUGGUAAUGCCAUCCCAAUUACUAUCACAAUUUACACCAAAGAAAAAAAAAUUAUGCGUGUCUAAGAAUGUACGUAGCAUCUCCCAGUAAUCAAAUAUGAUAUAAAACAUGCCUCAAAUCCAUUUUCGAAGCCACAUUAUUCUAAUUCACAAAUAAUAGCACGAAGAAAAAACUAUUGCCAAAAAAAUUAAAGCUCAACAAGUAACCAACCACGGUAGAUCUAAAAGCUAAUUACAUAAACAAGCAGACAGCUGAUCAAAUGGGCAAAUAGGUAAUGCCGAAAAAUAAAGCCGAGAACUUGACAAUAAUAUGUGAAAAAUGUCAAAUUCACAGUAAAAGUAAUCACAAGCACCACAUCCAGUUAAAAUUUUUAUGUAUAUCCAAACAAGCUACCAAAAAGUAAAUCAAAACAGUAUCAAAUAUGAGAACAAAAUGCAAAUCUGUUUACAUGCGCAUGAUUCAGGCAAAUCCUGUAAGCUACAUCAAAAAAAUCGAACAGCCUGUUUGUAAGAUAUCAGAAUAAAAAAAGCAGACGCAACUAACAGAAGCAUUGAAACAACACAAAAAUGAAGGAUCGGGCAAAUGAGCAAUAACCAAUAAACAUCGCUAGAAUCUGCUGGGUAGGAAUAAGUGAUUUAAAGGAAGAGAUCAAUCCACAAAAUAUUCCAAUCAGAAACCAGAAACAUAAGGGGUAAAAAGCUGUAAAUCAGGGCAUUGCAAGUAUAUACCAAGUGGGUGCAAAGAAUAACUU